rnacentral:sRNA from 1 species
AAAUCGCCGGGGGAAAAAAAAUAAAAAAGAGAGGAGGCGGUGGAGGCUGCGGCAGAGUAACAGACUCGGCGCCUCCCUCCUCUCGCUGUGGAUCUGCGGCGGCGAGCCGGCGGCGAAGCAAGCAGCGCGGCGCGGAUCCUCGGGCGGCGAGGUUGUUCGCACAAUCUCGCUCAUCCGUCGCGGCGAUUCCAUGAGAGGUUGAGAGCUUUGCACUGAAGAAGUGGGGGAUAUUCUGAUCUGCUCAGCUAAAGGGGGUUGCAGCUAAACAUGGCGGCGGCAUUAGCAUGGCGGUUCAAUGGAACCAAUGGAGGCGCAGAUCUGGUUGGUGCUCUCCUCGGUGCUGUAGUUCUGAGCUAGUAGAAUUGCAGCAUGUCACUUUCUUAGCGUCGCUUGAAUUGUAAGAGUGCUGUCGUCUACGUUAACGGAGUUAUUUGGAUUGCGUUUGUUUCUGAUGUGGACAUCAUGGGGGUGAAACGUUGAAUAGUAUAGCAGUAGGAUAUGCUUUGAAAGUGAGAUCAGUGUUCGGUCUACUUGAGAAAAAGAUGUCCAUGCAUAUUUGUCAAUUUUUAAGCGUUGGGGAUCUUCAUUUCAGCUGCAUUUUUUAAAGCUUUUGCGCUAGGCCUAUCUAUCAACUUGGGUAUACAAUCAGUUUGCAACAAUGAGGUCAUGAACUAGGAAUCUGUUACUCUUAUGCUGUCAUUUUUUCUGUAGUAACAAAAUGAGAAUAUCAUGCUUCUGGGUCAUUCGUGUUUAUGCUGGUAAUGGAACAAAAAUGGAUUGGAUGGCUUUGUAAUGCUGUUCUAC